CCAGUGGUGAACUCCACAUACGCAUCCUUUGCUGAGGAUACGGUUAACGGAGCGAAAGCGACGUUCAACCGCAAAACAAGCAGAGGGGGCUUAGUGGUGGGGUGACUGCGUACCUUUUGUAUAAUGGGUCAGCGACUUAUAUUCUGUAGCAAGGUUAACCGAAUAGGGGAGCCGUAGGGAAACCGAGUCUUAACCGGGCGUUAAGUUGCAGGGUAUAGACCCGAAACCCGGUGAUCUAGCCAUGGGCAGGUUGAAGGUUGGGUAACACUAACUGGAGGACCGAACCGACUAAUGUUGAAAAAUUAGCGGAUGACCUGUGGCUGGGGGUGAAAGGCCAAUCAAACCGGGAGAUAGCUGGUUCUCCCCGAAAGCUAUUUAGGUAGCGCCUCGUGAAUUCAUCUCCGGGGGUAGAGCACUGUUUCGGCUAGGGGGCCAUCCCGGCUUACCAACCCGAUGCAAACUGCGAAUACCGGAGAAUGUUAUCACGGGAGACACACGGCGGGUGCUAACGUCCGUCGUGAAGAGGGAAACAACCCAGACCGCCAGCUAAGGUCCCAAAGUCAUGGUUAAGUGGGAAACGAUGUGGGAAGGCCCAGACAGCCAGGAUGUUGGCUUAGAAGCAGCCAUCAUUUAAAGAAAGCGUAAUAGCUCACUGGUCGAGUCGGCCUGCGCGGAAGAUGUAACGGGGCUAAACCAU
rnacentral:rRNA from 1 species